CUGCCUGUGGCGUAGUUGGAUAACGCACAAGACUCCGACUCUUGAGAACGUAGGUUCAAAUCCUAUCAGGCAGGCCA
rnacentral:tRNA from 1 species